GCAGGCGGCGCAUUCCUAAAAGCCUACAAUCGGCAUUAAGAACAAGCGAUAACCAACAAACCUUCGCCCAAAGCAAAAACAACCGUUCUCUUUUUCCUCUGCAAGUUUGUCCUGCCUGUAGGCCGCCGCUGACGCUGCUUCUACCUUUAAGCACAGUUCUCUCCUCGCCCACCGGCCAGCCCAGCAGCCUGUGCGGCAAUAGCCGCACCCCCUUUCCAUCCCGACCCACUAAGGCUGAGCUUCGUCACUGCCCGCCUCCUUUUCCUUCUAAGCCCGCCGAUUCUGCCCGACAAAAGCAGGCUCGAAAGAGCCUUUCGUUCCCAGGUCGAUUACAGCUUAUGGCGACCCUAUGAAUCAGUCACCUCCAAGAGCAUCUGUCGUGAACUGCCCUGUUCAGAUCUUGUGCAGAAAUGGGCAUAACCUGUCUAACUUGACGUAUGAUGACAGAGGAUUACAGAUAACUCUCAUUGCCCUGCUUUUCGAUUGGGGCUAUUAUCAGUCAACCAUGAUUGAUCUCUUAAGAGUGGUGGGAAUUUUAUGGGUUAUAACUGGA